rnacentral:rRNA from 1 species
UACGUAGGGGGCAAGCGUUGUCCGGAAUUAUUGGGCGUAAAGAGCGUGUAGGCGGCCAGAUAAGUCCGCUGUGAAAUCUCGAAGCUCAACUUCGAGCUGUCGGUGGAAACUGUCUGGCUAGAGUCCGGAAGAGGAGAAUGGAAUUCCUGGUGUAGCGGUGAAAUGCGCAGAUAUCAGGAAGAACACCAAUGGCGAAGGCAGCUCUCUGGGACGGUACUGACGCUGAGACGCGAAAGCGUGGGGAGCGAACAGG